CUACGGGUGGCAGCAGUGGGGAAUAUUGCACAAUGGAGGAAACUCUGAUGCAGCAACGCCGCGUGGAGGAUGACACUUUUCGGAGCGUAAACUCCUUUUAUAUAGGAAGAAGAUGACGGUACUAUAUGAAUAAGCGCCGGCUAACUCCGUGCCAGCAGCCGCGGUAAUACGGAGGGCGCAAGCGUUACGCGGAAUCACUGGGCGUAAAGAGCGUGUAGGCGGAUUAAAAAGUCAGAAGUGAAAUCCUAUAGCUUAACUAUAGAACUGCUUCUGAAACUCUUAAUCUAGAAUAUGGGAGAGGUAGAUGGAAUUUCUGGUGUAGGGGUAAAAUCCGUAGAGACCAGAAGGAAUACCGAUUGCGAAGGCGAUCUACUAGAACAUUAUUGACGCUGAGACGCGAAAGCGUGGGGAGCAAACAGGAUUAGAUACCCCGGUAGUC
rnacentral:rRNA from 1 species